UAACGGUGUUCAAAGCCGGUUACCGAGAGCACAGCUUCGAAGUUACAAGGAUGGUCGUGCGAUGGGUAGCCGAAACUCGGCUGUAUAAACUACUUUGGUUGUCUGCUUGAGCUCAGUCGCAAUUGGCCGCAUCACUCGUAACCACGCCGAGCGCACGGCAUCACCUCUAACAGUGUUUCUUUUAAUAAAACAAGUAAAUGAGACAUUUCCGUACGCAAUAACGUUCGUGCAGUGUAGUGUGCUUUCAAAAUCGAUUUCGAAAUUGGAUUUUAAGAUGACAAAAACAAACUUCGUUUUAGUUGUGGUCGCCGUCACGCUCGUUUGUAUUGCUGCAGCGCCAAGUGAUUUCGGAAAAGGCGACCUUGAGAAGAGUGUUGAUCAAAUCAGCCAACAAGAGCAUCUCUCAAAUAGUCAGAAAGAAGAUGAAACUAACGUUCGCCGUAAACGUCACCAAAAUUUUUACGAUUACGCGGCGAUAAGUCGAUUCCAGUAUUCCAACGUGCCCAAUGGAUUCGAAAAUUCCAAUUUCUUCAAUAUACUUUUUUCACAAAUACAAAAACAAUUUGAUCAAAUAUCCUAUUUUAUAAGACCUUCUUCUGCAUAUUCACCAAAUCCUCUGCCAAUAUUUGUUCCAUCGUUUUAUAUCCCAAAUAGUAACUGCAAUUGCUAUCCAACGAAUGUUCAAGCUACUUUUGACAAUAGCCAAAGUCAAAUAAUCCAAGAUUUACCUCCAACUAACACAGAUUAUACAAGUGCAGAUGUAUCAAUACCCGUUACUAGAACAGACAUUAGACAACCGACCGCAACUUCAACAGCUAAAGAACUUUCAACCACAGCAGUGUCCAUUAUCGACGACAAAGUACGAACUUCAGCACCGAUAAUGACUGAAGAAUCAUCAACCGUUUCUACAUCAACUACAAAUUCUGAAGACACAGUUAGUAUUAAUUUCGGCGAAAACGAAAGUGAUGAUGAUUAUGAAGAGCUUGGUACUAGACCCAUAUCCUUCGAACCGAUAAGAAUAAAUAAUCAAAACGCUAGACCUGCACCACCAGUGGAUCGUGGAAGCACACAAGAAGAUUCUCAAAAUUUAGACAGUUAAAAUCGCGUUUAACAACUAAAUAUGUUACAAACACACCCGUCUAUGAACUAAAGAAAAAAACCUUACUUGGAAGUUUGAACCUAUUAAAUGUGUGUGUCAUUGUAUUUAUUUUAAUGUAAUAUUAUAAUACUAGAAAAUUGAAAUAUAAAUCAAUUUCAUUCCAAUUAUAUGCUUACUGUGAAGUUUUGUACUCAUUUUACAUGUAUUGCUGCUAGUAUAAGGUACUGUAUUUCUUUAUUUAACAACUAUAUUAUAUUCAUGAACAAAAGUUUAAAGUAAAUUGAAAUAACUUAAUAGUACACAUGUUGGCAUGUUUCUCAAAAUUAUUUAAAAUAAUUUUAGAUGAAGACAUUGAUGAAAUCCAUCGUCGUGAUCACAUUGGUAUUGUUAUAUGUUCAUGUCGACGCAGAAGUAAAAAUACAGCCAGAAGUAAAUAAUUUGUUGCUUCCAUACACAAUAUUAGAUAACACCGACGGAUUGGUUGUACUGAAUGAAAUAAUUCCUAAUGGGAAGCUUAUGAAAAUUAUAGAUCUGCAAUUAAAAGACGAAGAAACUAAAAGCCGUCCCCAAAUUCUGACUUAUUGUUUUCAAAUCAUUGGAGAUCCCAAUGAGAACUACAUAGAGAGAUUUUUGUCUACAAUCCACAAACCAGAAUGUAAAGAAAGUACCGAUGAAGAAGAUUCUCACGCAUGUAUAAAUAAUCUAGAUUCUUCUUAUUAUUAUGUCUUUAACUAAAGAAACAUUUUGUUCGAAUAAAAGCAUAGAAUCUCAUUUUAAAUAGCAAUGCAAAAAUUCCAGGUAAAUUUCGGUCGUGUUUUAGAUACCACUAUCACUUGUAUUCUUCUCCAUUUCUGGGAUUGGUUCGAUUAAGUUCUUAUAGUUAUAUAUUCAGCUAAAAAUAUGCUAUUUCAAUAGCUUUAUCAACGUAAAAAGCUUAAAUCGUCACGCCUGUUGACGCGUUUAGAUUUUCAAACAUAUGUUUUAAAUUUUUGUUAUUGCCGUAGUAGACAGAUGAAUAUCAGGUGAUAGUGAAUGGUCACGGUCGCAUCUAUUUCUCGUUUCCACGCAUAUUAUUGCGCAUUCUACGUAAAUAUAUUUUUCAUUUUAUCAAUGUUAUAAGUAUUUACAUUUCAAUUAACUAUUGUUUUUAAGCGUAUCUCAUAAUGUCUAAUUGAACCUGAUAACCCUUAUAUUUCAUUGAUUAAAUUUAUAAUUAUUAUUUUCCUCGUUUCAUUACUAAGAAAUAUUAAUUAGCAAUUAACACAAGGCUACCUAUAAUGUUACACAUAUUAUUGUAUAUUUUAUGGAAAUAACAGUUUCAUUCUCUCUGCUUUAUAUUUUCUCUCUACUUACAACGAUUAAUAAAAUUUAAUUAAAUAAAUAAACACUUUAAUUUAACUUUAUCUCAUCUCAUCUAAUAAAAUAAAAAUAAAUCACGUCUGUUUGUUGAUUUGUACUUAUACGCAGCAACGAAGCAAUCGAAAAACAUUGUCAUAUUAUGUAAAAACAUAAUAAUAUUGUUUGAGCUCCAUGCUCUAUUAUCGAGUUUUGAUCCUUCUCUAAAGAAUGAUAAACUUAAAGAGGACGCAACCACAGAGCUCUGCUAUUUUUAAAUAAGGCUCACAAGCGUUUGGCUUAAUUUGCCGAACCGAUGCAAUAAAUGUUUAUGGUCAAAGGGAAACGGGCUUACCCGCGCAAUCAAGCGCAGAGCAAAUAAAUCUAUUAAAAUAUACAGCGGGUGAUAAGAAGAAACGCCAAUACGUCAUUUGGCAAAAACAAAGAUUUGUAACUUUAAAAUCCCGUAUUCCGUUGCGUGAGGAAAACGGCGAAUUAUUAACAUAACUAUGAGCACUUCGUGUUCAAGACGCAGACGUGAACGGACUGAGCAGCGAACCGGACGUUUUUAUUUAAUACCGACACUCCAUGUGUACAUGUGACAUAAAGCAAAAAAAAACCGAAAUGCCAGGAACACCGGUCUUCUUUGUUACGCUACUCUUCGUCGGGACGAUGUGCGCACCCCAAGUGAAUUUGAGAAACCCUAACCCCGUUUUGAGCACAAUAAACAUGUCAUACGAAGAUCUCGAUUAUAUCGUGAAAUUCAGAAGCGGACAAGUUCACGCAAAGCCGAGGACCUUAUCGCCGUGCGCCAGAGCGAUAUUAGGCUGUUGUAAUGGUAAAAUAAUGAACAGCAAUUGCUCAGAAUCACUCCAAUGUGGCGCUUUCUUCUUCGAUGAAAACCCCUGCGAGGAUCGCUUUGUAGAAGACGCAUUGAAAGCCGCCAAAGCUUUUUAUGAGCAAUCCAACAAACUUCCGAGGUAAAAGGAAAUCAGAGCUCGAUGUAAUAUUGGGAGACUGCUCAAGUUUGUCAAUCCAAAUAUUUGGAGAAUAUUUUGAGUUUAUUGAGUCAAGAGUGAUAAAAUUAUUUUCAAUAGCUUAGUGCAUUUGUAAACUUCUUAACGAUUUUAAAAGACUAGCAUUUAAAAUGCUUAAAUAAAUGUAAUUUUUAUUUUAUUUUUUAUUGCUUAGAUGGGUGGCGGAGCUCACAGCCCACCUGGUGUUAAGUGGUUACUGGAGCCCAUGGACAUCUACAACGUAAAUGCGCCAUCCACCUUGAGAUAUAAGUUCUAAGAUCUCAGUAUAUAGUUACAACGGCUGCCCCAUCCUUUAAACCGAAACGCAUUACUGCUUCACGGCAGAAAUAGGCAGGGCGGUGGUACCUACCCGCGCGGACUCACAAGAGGUCCUACCACCAGUGAAAAAUGCAACAUUUAUACAAUACUUCGAGCGUAAAAUUAAAAUCAAAUAUUACAUAUGUAUAAGAAAAUACAGAUUUGACAGGCUGAACAGAUGAACUAGGAGUUCAUUCGCCUGUACACAAACCUAAAUCGUUAAUAGAUGACGUAUUGCUCACACAAACAAGUGGACUUUAUAAAUGUAAGUGUGACCUUUAUCUGACUGGUUUGAAUCUAGUAUAAUUUAAUUUAUAAGCUUGUAGAAUUUUCUAAUGAAAGAGGUUCCUAAUAACCUAAGAUCUUGUCGAAAUAGGAAUGCAUAUCAUUAUUUAAAAAAAUUAAGAUGAACGAGUAUUAUAUUCUUAUUACUAGCGACCCGCCCUCGCUUCGCUUCGGAAACAUUAAAACACACAUGAAACUAAAAAAAUAAAAUAAAAAAAAAUAAAAAAAGUAGCCUAUGUUCAUCAGGGACAAUGUCGGCUUCUAAUGGAAAAAGAAUUUUUCAAAUCGGUCCAGUAGUUUCGGAGCCUAUUCGAAACAAACAAAGAAACAAAUCUUUCCUCUUUAUAAUAUUAGUAUAGAUAAACAUACAAUUGAGACCGUCAGUGCAAAAGUGGCCUAGCCCACAAAUUUUCAUAUUCGCACUUAUAUAUUGCAAUUUAUUUAAUACAUAAUAAAUUUUGAUGCAAAACCGGCCUAUUCCUAGUCUCACCCAUAGAGAACAGAUGGCUUUGUAAACAUUAUUUUUGCGCGUAUUGUUUUUGCCUACGAAGCAGUAAAUUCCAAAAGUAAAUUCUAACCUCAUUAUCUCCAUACUAACUAUGAUAAGCUUAGGACACUUUUGCGCUGACUGCCUCAAUUGCUAGUUGUUGGUAAAGAUAACUAAAACUAUGAAAAACCACAUGUAUAAAAUUUGGUUCUAAAUUUAAAAAAAAUACAUCUAUAACGUUCGAAUCUUGCCUAAUGACAAUAUGUACUUUCUCAUUGUUAUUUUUUUGCCAAUAUGGAUUGAGGAGCUCACGGCCCGUCUGAUGUUAAGUGAUUACCGGAGCCCAUAGACAUCGUUCAUGCCGCCACUCCCAUUGAUACAUGAGUUCUAAAGUUCCGGCUUUUAUAAAACAACGACCGCCCACCUGGCAGAAAUAAGUAAGGUGGUGGUACCUACCCGUGCAGACUGCAGACUCAUAAGACCUAGUCCUACCACCAGUAAUUACGCAAUUUACCAUUUUUGAGAUUUUGAUUUUUAUUAUACGUUGCCAUUCCUUCACUGUGGAAGUCAAUCGUGAAUAUUUUUCAGUAGUCGUCGUGGCCUAAUGGAUAAGACGUCCGGUGCAUUCGUGUUGAAGCGAUGCACCGGUGUUCGAAUCCUGCAGGCGGGUACCAAUUUUUCUAAUGAAAUACGUACUCAACAAAUGUUCACGAUUGACUUCCACGGUGAAGGAAUAACAUCGUGUAAUAAAAAUGAAACCCGCAAAAUUAUAAUUUGCGUAAUUACUGGUGGUAGGACCUCUUGUGAGUCCGCGCGGGUGGGUACCACCACCCUGCCUAUUUCUGCCGUGAAGCAGUAAUGCGUUUCGGUUUGAAGGGUGGGGCAGCCGUUGUAACUGUAACUAUACUUGAGACCUUAGAACUUGUAUCUCAAGGUGGGUGGCGCAUUUACGUUGUGGAUGUCUAUGGGCUCCAGUAACUACUUAGCACCAGGUGGGCUGUGAAUUCGUCCACCCAACUAAGCAAUAAAAAAAAAAGGUAUUUCAUUACCAAAAUUGAUACCUGUAUGCGUGAUCCGAACACCGGCACUAAUGCAUCGCUAGAUACGAAUGCACCAGGCAUCUAAUCCUUUAGGCCACAACGACUUCAAAAUAACUAGCAACAAAAAGUAAUCUAUAUUGUUUGACAUUUACGCUAAAUCCAUGAAAUUGUCUUUUACUCACUCUUAAGUUCUCUAAUAAGUACAAAACAAAAGCGGAAUUUAUAAAGUGUAAAAUAAAGCAGUGUUAUAAAUAAACCAGUGUUAAUAUUUAUUACAAAUAUUUAUUGGAUAAUCUGCAUUGAAUCGUGUAAACUAAUAUUUUGUGUACGUUCAAAAAUAAUAAUCUAAACGAAUUAAUUUAUUAAAUUUAAGACUAAUAAAAUCUUUAAAAUUUGUCUUCAAUCUAAGUUCCUGAUUUUUAUUUCUAAUUACGUAGUUUUAAGCUUGUAUUUCAUAUAUUUAUAGGAUGUUGUUAAAUAGAAUUAAUUAACUUAAAUAUGUACUUUUUUUAAUUAAAUUUUUUAAGAUUAUUUACUUAUUUAAUAAUAUAAGUAUUUAACUUUAAAAAAAAAAGAUGUGAACUAAGGCUGCUGUAAAUAUUCUAAUAAAGUAAAAAUGGUAAAGAAGUCUAGUACACUCAUUUCACAAAACUCACUUUAUAUCACAGCCGAUAGAGAUUAGUGAUAUUACUUUUUAUAUUAUUAUGUAUUAACAUAUUCUGUUCGCAGUUCCUAUUGUAUGUCACAAAGUCUUCUGCAUUACAACCUUGUUUACUGUAGAAAUCACAGAAUAAUUGUAUUCAUUUCAUAAGUUUCAUUGAAAUACUUUCUAAGCUACAAAAUUUAUGUAAUUCAAGUUACAAGCAUCAUAUUAAAUUACUACGGUCAGCCGCAUAAUGGUAUGAAGAAUACCUUAAGUUUUAUAAUUAAUCAUGUGAACACUUGAAAAUAAGUCAAUAAAAAUAAACCAGACAGC